AGCUGCCCUGGCAAACAGGAUUUUCACGCCUUUGCACUCAAAACGCCUUUCAUUGGUAUUCAGAAAGUUCUACUUUCCACCCAGCUGAGAUAAGGAGCACAGGAUUCUGGCAGCACCUACUGAUGCCCGCUGUGUGUCAGGUCCUGUGCUAUUUCUGAGAAAGCAGAGAUAAGCAAGUCAUCAUUCCUGCUUCAAGGAGUUCACAGCUCGUAUGCGACUUUCUCCUCCCUGGGCCUCAGUUUCCUUAUCUGUAUGGAGAGGAAGUUGGAGUUGAAGUUCUUAGAGGGCUCUUCCAAGUUACUUUGGAGUUGAUUUCCAAAUGGGAGUGAAGGAAACAAAGACAAAGACAAGCAGGUCACAUCCCUGACCUCAAGAAAUUUGCCAUCUAGC